UUUGGUAUAUUAUCAGAGAGUAUAUCUCCAAUUUAGAGGUAUAUUUGAUGAGAUAAUUAUUGUGUUCUGCUUGGAACUUGUUUGUUAGAGCUAUUGUGUUUUACUGUUGUUAAGUUCUUGAAGGGGAAAUUGGCAUGAAUUUAUUGUAAAUUUUUAUUUAUUAUUGGUUUAUUAGUAUAUAUUAUCCUCUUAAAUGUGAAUGUACCCAAGGG
rnacentral:lncRNA from 1 species